rnacentral:rRNA from 1 species
GACGAACGCUGGCGGCGUGCUUAACACAUGCAAGUCGAGCGGUAAGGCCCUUCGGGUACACGAGCGGCGAACGGGUGAGUAACACGUGGGUGACCUGCCUUUAGCUCUGGGAUAAGCCUGGGAAACUGGGUCUAAUACCGGAUAUGACCUCAUGACGCAUGUCGUGGGGUGGAAAGCCUUGUGCGGCUAGAGAUGGGCCCGCGGCCUAUCAGCUUGUUGGUGGGGUGANGGCCUACCAAGGCGACGACGGGUAGCCGGCCUGAGAGGGCGACCGGCCACACUGGGACUGAGACAC